rnacentral:rRNA from 1 species
AGUGAACGCUGGCGGCGUGCCUAAUACAUGCAAGUCGAACGGAGCGGCGCACGGGUGGGUAAUGUAUAGCUAGGCUGCCCUACACUAGAGGAGAACAGUUGGGAAAGACUGAUAAUAAUCCAUAGGGUAGGAUGGGGCAAUAUUGUAUGAGGUAGUUGGUGAGGUAUUGGCUCACUAAGGCUGUGAAGCAUAACUGGGCUAAGAGGAUGAUCAGUCACACUGGACCUGAGGCACGGUCCGGACUCCUUCGAGAUGCAGCGGUAGCGAAUAGUGCUCAAUGGGGGAAACCCUGAAGCAGCUACGCCGUGUGGAGUAUGACACUUUUCGGGGCAGAAACUACUUUUGUUAGGCAUGCGGUACCUACCGAAUAAGCACCGGCUAACUCCGUGCCAGCAGCCGCGGUAAUUC